rnacentral:rRNA from 1 species
AACGAACGCUGGCGGCAUGCCUAACACAUGCAAGUCGAACGAGACCUUCGGGUCUAGUGGCGCACGGGUGCGUAACGCGUGGGAACCUGCCCUUAGGUUCGGAAUAACUCCCCGAAAGGGGUGCUAAUACCGGAUAAUGUCUUCGGACCAAAGAUUUAUCGCCUUUGGAUGGGCCCGCGUUGGAUUAGCUAGUUGGUAGGGUAAAAGCCUACCAAGGCGACGAUCCAUAGCUGGUCUGAGAGGAUGAUCAGCCACACUGGGACUGAGACACGGCCCAGACCCCCACGGGAGGGAGGAGGGGGGAAAAUGGGAAAAGGGGGGAAAGCCUAACCCAACAAAGCCGGGUGGGGGAGGAAGGCCUUAGGGUUGUAAAACCCUUUUACCCGGGAUGAAAAAGAAAGUACCGGGGAAAAAAACCCCGGCUAACUCCGG